rnacentral:tRNA from 1 species
UAGGGUGUAGCUCAAAGGUAGAGUGUGUGCUUAGCAUGCAUGAGGUCCUGGGUUCAAUCCCCAGUACCUUUG